rnacentral:sRNA from 1 species
UCCUAGUCGAUCUCUCGCGUUAGGGAUAGGAGUGAAAAUCCUUUUAUCACGCAUUAGCGUGACAAAAGAUUGUAACGCAUAGCCCGACCAUAC